GGCAACGUGGCCGAGUGGUCUAAGGCGCUGUGUUCAGGCUUCAUCCUUCCCGGAUGCUGGACUUCGCAGUUCGAAAGAGCACGAGUUCGAAUCUCGUCGUUGUCA